rnacentral:rRNA from 1 species
UACGUAGGGACCAAGCGUUGUUCGGAUUUACUGGGCGUAAAGGGCGCGUAGGCGGCUUAACAAGUCACUUGUGAAAUCUCCGGGCUUAACUCGGAACGGCCAAGUGAAACUGUCAAGCUAGAGUGCAGAAGGGGCAAUCGGAAUUCUUGGUGUAGCGGUGAAAUGCGUAGAUAUCGGGAGGAACACCAGUGGCGAAGGCGGCUACCUGGCCCAUUCUUGACGCUGAGGCGCGAAAAGCUAGGGGAGCAAACGGG